GUGGUGCGCUUCUAUUAUGCCGCAGCCCCUCGCUGACCGGCUCACGGACCCGGCUCGCCGCCCUCGUGUGCCUUCCAGAAGUAUUACAGGAGUCUGCAGUGAAGCCUUUACAUUUCCUGUUCAAAGGUGCCGUCCGGGCAGCAUUCGGCAACAGGAGAGGUGUUGGGGCAAGUCAGGGAAGGAGCGAGGGUCUGCUCAAGUUUCAGCAAUGCCACACCCCCUUGUCUCCUCGCAACCCAGGUAUACCCUGUGACGACGGCAUUGGUCCAGAGCAUGGCCCAAAUGUGCAGCCCUAGGACCCUGGCCUUCUUAGGAGACUGUGAGCAGAGGAAUUGUCGGGUUCUGGCCGAGGUGCCACUAAGUUCCUGCACUGAUGCUUCUUUAGUUAUCCUUAUUGUAGCUGACUAAGAGACAGCCACCCAGCGAGGGCAGGAGAGUCCAGGACUACAAGGCGGCCUUCUUUUGCGCCCAAGGCGGAUUAGCAUCCCCGGACGUCUGAGAGAUGCAGACGGGUUAAAUCCGUGGCAGAGCGCCCUACACCGGGUGAGGGGGUUCCCAUGGGAAGGUCUGUCACCGUUUGUCUUUGCAGGGCAAGCGUAAAUGGUGGCUGUGUUAUAGCAUUGUUCUUUGUUUUUAUUUUUAGGAGGUAAAGCUGGAUAGCAACAGUCAAGGUCAGGUGAGCAAAGUGAGCGGCGAUCAGUGGACAAAAUGAGUUGUUGUUGGUCGGGUAUCAAUUUAUGGUGCAGCUCUAAGCAUCUGUUGUUGUUUGUUCUUUUUAAGUGGUCCACUCACAAGAUGUCCUGGCCCAGGUUCCUGGUGGCCUGGUGGGUGCAAGCUUAUGGUAUAGGUGUGAUGUGCUUCAAUUGGAACAGGAAGGUGGUGGUUUCACACUAUGUCAGCAUGCUUUUUUUCUUUCUUUCUUUGCAGGUGCUGCCACUGCCUUGGACAUGCCAAUAAAUAGAGGCGAAUGGGUGAGUCGGCAUUUGGGUUAGGGCGAGCGGUAUGUGGCGCCAUGCUAAGCGUGUGCCUUUUCACUUUGCAGGUGUCAGCCGGGCCACCUCUGGAGUCAGAUGAAGAUUUGAGGUGCCGUAAGCAGCUGCGGAGCCCAAGCUUGAAACAGCAGCCACUGAAACAGACCGUGGCAAACGUAGUGACAUCCAUGGCGCCCACGUGUUCUUUUCCACUGAGGAUGGGUUUUGUCCGCUCAUCUGCCGAAAGCUAAGUGUUGGGACCGGUGGUCGGGAGAAGGGAAAAACGUUUGGAGUCACAGGAGACAAUUUGAAGUUAGCUCAGAGGAGAGGGCUGUAGCGG
rnacentral:lncRNA from 1 species